rnacentral:rRNA from 1 species
UACGUAGGGUGCGAGCGUUAAUCGGAAUUACUGGGCGUAAAGCGUGCGCAGGCGGCGCGUUAAGACAGGUGUGAAAGCCCCCGAGCUUAACUUGGGAAUUGCGCUUGUGACUGGCGUGCUGGAGUGUGGCAGAGGGAGGUGGAAUUCCACGUGUAGCAGUGAAAUGCGUAGAGAUGUGGAGGAACACCGAUGGCGAAGGCAGCCUCCUGGGCCAGCACUGACGCUCAUGCACGAAAGCGUGGGGAGCAGACAGG